GCGCCCGGCUGCGCAGGAGCAGGGUGGCCAGAGGCCUCGGAGACCCCAGCCUCCUGAGCCUGUCCUCCGCCGCAGGCGGCAGCGAUUGAGCAACCGACCCCGUCAAAGCGACCGGGGUCCGCGGGAACCGAAGUCCGCGCCCACGGUGGGACUUCACUGUGAGCGCAGUUCCAGGCUAAGUUGAGAGAACUUCUAAGAACUCACCUUAUGGAAAACAACCAACUCAAAGACCUUCCAAUUUUUAAGUGCUGAGGAUUGACCAGGACCUCCUGCAUGUUAGGCAAGCGCUCUGUCACUGAGCUACACGUCCAGCCCUUGUGAUUCUCUUUACUUGAAAUGUUCGGAUCAGAUAAGUGAGAGAGACCCCGACAGAAAAGACGCUGCAAUAUUAUAUCACCUAACAGGACAACUGGAAAGGAGACAAGUGAAUGGGAUCAGGAUAAAGUGAGAUGGCACCUUUAGUUUUAUACCAGCAAAAUUCCUAAUUUAAAAAAAAUAUAUAAAUCUAUUAAAAC